UUACUCCUACGGGAGGCAGCAGUGGGGAAUCUUGCGCAAUGGGCGAAAGCCUGACGCAGCAACGCCGCGUGCGGGAUGAAGGCUCUCGGGUCGUAAACCGCUUUCAGCAGGGAUGAAAAUGACAGUACCUGCAGAAGAAGCCCCGGCUAAAUACGUGCCAGCAGCCGCGGUAAUAA
rnacentral:rRNA from 1 species